ensembl:lncRNA
UGUGUCAUCACUGCGAAAUGUGGUACUGGAGAAGCCAACUGUAGCGGGAGCUACCACAGAAGCGGUUCUGAGGGAUUUGCCAAGUGUUUAUAGUUCUGUCAGUCUGUGACAGAUUUUGUCUCAGCGAUGGCAUUCUAACCUCGCAGGGUGCAGUUAUGUAACGGUGUAUAGGUGUGCAGUUGUGAUCCAAACGGAUGCAAUUUGGAGUCUUAACACAGUUGUACAGUAAAAAAUGAAGGCAGAUUUUGAAGAUGCGUGUGGUCAGAGGGAGCAAGGCGUUAGGGAGUAGGAAGUGAGGUCCUCUCUCUCCUCCAUCUCCAGUGCCAACAAAAUAGUUUCCACCAACAACAGAACUUUAGAGUAUAGUAGCAAGAUAGAGAAGGUUGGCAGCGGCGUCUGGUAUAGGUGGCGUCUGGUAUAGGUGGCGUCUGGGAUAGGUGGCGUCUGGGAUAGGUGGCGUUUGGGAUAGAUGGCGUUUGGGAUAGGUGGCGUCUGGGAUAGGUGGCGUCUGGGAUAGGUGGCGUCUGGGAUAGGUGGCGUCUGGGAUAGGUGGCGUCUUGGGUUUCAUAUUGUGUCACUCCUGUGACGCAAAUCAUUCGGCCCUCGUUAUUUCCUUCACAGAACAUGUAACCAAGCAAAUAAAAUCCACAGGAAUCACACAACAAAGGGAUUCUUCUGGUCCCCACACUUCUCUCAGCGAGCCUAAAUUGUUUUUCUGCUUUGAGAAAAAUUGUAACAUUUGUGACCUCAAAGCCUCAGUCUCAAAGAAAGGACCUUUUCAAUUUCCAAAUGUUGGUAACUCGAAAUAGUUUACAGUUGUAUAGAGUAUGUCUUAUUCCUUUUAUGAAGAAUUGAGGUAUUCAUUGUGAUUGAAAGAAGAACAGCACUCAUGUUCCCUUUCUUGUGUGUUCUGCAG